AAUGAAUUGCCUGAUAAAAAGGAUUACCUUGAUAGGGUAAAUUAUGUAGUAUUCUACAUUCAUUA
rnacentral:tRNA from 3 species